rnacentral:lncRNA from 1 species
AGCUCCACGGCGACGAUGGUGCUUAGAAGUCACAGGUUUGUGGCGCUUAACCCUGCAGUAACUAGUGCUUUAGGAUACGUCGUCACUCGAGAGAAGUGUAUCUGUAUCUUUUAGGGCCAGAAGCUGGAGAUAGUUCUUUGGAGUGACAGCUCCUUGCUCCGAAAGAGAGAAUGAACACUUACCAUGUACUUAGGAUGCACUUUCUUUACUGCCCUGUGAUGAAAGGUCCUUAUGCCAUGGAAUUCUCAUGCAGCAAACACAAGAAUGUCCCUUGUAAAUCUCUAACUCCAGGGAGGGUAGUUGACCAAGGGUUCCAAUCGGUUCCAUAAACGCUGAGCUCCUUCUCUGCAUCCAACCAACGUCCCUGCGGUGGCUCCCAGCCAGUCACUGAGCUUGACAGUGAGAGUAAAGGAGACUGAACCCUGGGAGAUACUGCACUCUUUGAAAUUGUGACUUGAUGACUCCCUGAUGGUCCUGCUGAAUCUUCCUGAGACUGCGUGCUGGUCUAGGAUACUUCGCUCCUCUCUGCUCCUUUGGGAGGCUCGGACUUGUUAUGUGGUCUGAUGCUUCUGGCAGGCUCCCUGGCUCCCUUCCUGUUUUCUCUCUGACAAAAUUCCUUCAUCGUAUGUAAUCUCACCUUGGUGCCUGCUUCUCAGAGGACGGCCGCUAACAUAUAGUCACAGGUACCAGGAACGAUCUCUCUGGGAGAUGAGAAUGCAACUGGUUAAAGCUCUCUUGGCCUGCACAAACUCAGGUAGGCGAUUACUCAUUUUGCAUUGAAAGGUAAGACCUGAAGUAUCAAAUGCAGCCCAGAGAACCUGCGGAACCCCCAGCUUUUUCCCCCUUGGUUUUGGAGCCUUCUGUCUGUGUGCAGAAUUCACUUUACUCCAGAAAUGUGUUGCCUUUCAACUCCUCACCAUGGAAUCUGUGUACAGCCCUCUAGGUAACAGGAGUUGACAUUUACCGCUAAACCUCCUCUUGAAUCGCUCUGCGGGAGGCCAUCCGUGGCUCAGGUGUGAUUCCAUACAGAGGCUUAAAAUGGCAAUAUUAUCUGUAUGUGUAAUGAUGAUUCACUUUCUCUUGUUGAAAUACGACUGUGCCAGUGCUGGAAAGGCACUGCACUCUUCUUUGGUGAGGUUGGGUAGAGAACAAAUUCAUAUACACACUGUAGGGCAUGAGAACAUUGUCAUGGUCCAGCUUCUGGGACCCAUUUUAUUUGUCAGAAACACUUCCCUAGAUCAAGAGUCAAAAUAACCUGGCCGGAUUCCAGGAAUUGUAGUGGAUUUUCCAUCUGGUACACUUGAGUGUGCACAAGUUUUAAUGCUAUAAUUUAGCCUUUCGCAUAUCACAUGUAACCCAGUUUUGGUUCAGAUCCCAUGGAAGAAACUCUGGUAUUACACUGGUAGCUCCUCUGUACUUUUUUCUCUUUUUUUUUUUUGUCUUUUUGCUAUUUCUUGGGCCACUCCUGCGGCACAUGGAGGUUCCCAGGCUAAGGGUCGAAUCGGAGCCCUGUAGCCACCGGCCUACACCAGAGCCACAGCAACAUGGGAUUCGAGCCACGGCUGCAACCUACAACACAGCUCAUGGCAACACUGGAUCCUUAACCCACCGAGCGAGGCCAGGGAUCAAACCCAAGUCCUCAUGGAGGCUGGUUGGGUUUAUUACCACUGAGCCAUGAGAGGAACUCCCCCAACAGCAUUUUUAUAAAUCAUAAUCAUAAUUUUUAAUGUUCCAAUAAGUCUUACUUUUAGUCCAUUAAUUUGGGGAUGUUAGGCUGUGUUUAGUCCUGUGACCCCAAAGCCCUCUCACAGAUAUUUGUAUAUCCAAGACAGAAGAGUAAACCCUUAGCCCGGCCUUUGGACUUUGGAGUAAAUAUGGUGGAUUGAUGACACAUUUUAUCUUUUCUCCUUACGGAAACUUCCUGAAAUAAUCACACAGAAUCAAAAGAACAAAGUGAUUGAGGAAAGUGACAGGAAUAGACAGAAUUUAAGUUCUAGUUUUGUUCACUUUUAUUUCCCUAGAAUCUGGCACACAGUAGGCAAACAAAUUUUGACUUCAUGAAAAGGUGAAAAAAAAGAAUUCAACUCUUUUGCAAGAUGAAGAGCUGAUAACUGGACAAGACAGCGAGGACUUGGCUAUAGGCUUUGAACCUGCAGAGGGGAAAGAGUGACACCAGCGAUACAUGCUCUUGCUUUAUGCUCUCGGGCUGGAGCCUGUAAUCCUGUUGGAGUCGUUAAUCUGGUUGCAGUUCGCUCUUAUCCAAUUCUGUAUGCUUCUUAGAUCCGGAAACAGGCGUGCUCAGGCCUUGUGGGUCCAUCUGCUCUGCCCGGUUAGGUGUCGUCCCGCCACCCGAGAAGAAUCCAUUGGAUCCGGUAAAGGCUUCGCGUUCCUUCUCAGCCACAAAGACAGCGCCGCAUUUCAAACUGCCCAGAGCCCCGGAGUCUACCCCGUGGGCUCUGCUGACCAGCUUCAGGGGGCCACGCUCUGCGUCAGCUUCUGCGUCACUCAGGACACCAUUGCCCCUUUAGUCCUCAUUACUGUCCUCCAAAAUGUUAAAAAUAUGAUUCUCCUAUGAGGGUUAACAUAGUAAAAUCCAGAGUUUCCAUGUGCCUUGGGGGUUAAGGAUCCGACGUCACAGCAGUGGCUCAGGUUGGUGCUGAGGCACAGGUUCAAUCCUUGCUGUGAGGACUUG